UUACGGCCCUAUAGCUGUUGAAGCACCAGUUCCCAUACGAUCACUCGAAGUUAAGCAGAAUCGAGCCUUGUCAUUACUGAGAAGGGUGGCCAAUUGGGAAUGCCUGCUGCUG